UAUUAAGAUUUUUUUAUAAUUAUUACGAUGGGUCAUUCGGAAAGGAAGGUAGUGUACAAAUCAUAAGAAGUCCAGGAAUUCUAAAUGAAGUCUAAGAUGCCUGAGAAUUCUUAAGUAAGUCCCAGGAAUUCUUAAUAAUUAUAAGAAGGCAUUCUGCUAUUAUUUUUUUAAAUAAACAAAAUAUCUAUCUUUGAAGAAAUUAUGUUUAUAUCUUAAUAAUUUGUAGUUUAUUUACACACAGAAAUGUUUAUGUUCAUAGCUACUAUAG